AAAGUCCCGCAGGCUUCGUGCUGGAAAUGUAUCCGGGUUAAAGUCCCGCAGGCUUUGUUCUGAUAAUAUAAUUUCGGGUUUUAUACCUAGUAGGCCAAGUGCCGAUGAAUUUGAUAAAAGUAUACAAUUACAAGAUCCUACACUAAGUUGACAAAUUGAAAGUGCAUUACAUAUUAAGUUGGCCAGGUUUAUCCUUUAGUUCGAGUUGGAAGAGCCGGAGAUAUCAUCACACUAUCGAGUCAUUAUGUGAGUUGAGAAGAUGGUAUAUCAUCAUGAUUUAAGGCAUGUAUAGGAUAGACUAUAGGUAGAAUGAUAUUUUGACUUUGUAUACAUUAUAGCCAUGCGAAGAUGGCUCGCUUAUUUUGUUUAGAGAAGCCUUAUAAUUGAACUAAUGUGUUGAAAUGUUUUAGUUAAAACUUGAUAGUAGUUAAUUUGUUAUUAGAUAUUCGGUUAUGUUUUGAUAA